UUAUGUCAAUUCAAUAUUAAUUUAAAUAUAUGCUUAUUUAUUACCGUUUAAUUUCAUUGACUUCUGGUUGUUGCAUUUAAUUCACAGUUCUUAAACAUGGUAUUUUUAUCGGAGAAGGAAUGAAUAUCGUCGGAGAUUACGGCCCAGGGUAAACGACGUUAGGGUUCAACAACCUGCUCAUGAAGAACCUGCACCCGAAGAUGAACCCGUCCCUGAGGAAGUUGUCCAAGUGGUCAACAGAGGUAGACGUGGAAAUAGAAGGCGUGCUGCGCCAGAGCAUUAGCAAGCAGAUCAACCUGUGGAGCCCAAUAAUCAGCCUCCACCUCAGAAACAGCUGAAAACUACAGCAGUUCAGGCUGGACCGGGCAUUUUUGUGGUUUGGAUUAUUGGAUCCUCCUUGGUUGCCAAAGCCUCAUCACAUAGUCAAAUAAGACCUUUGGGAAAUGAUUUGGGGUUGCAUAAGUUAGGCUACAAGUUGAUGUGGGCAGGAAUGUCCGGUAUGUCAGUAUAUAACGUUGUACCAAUAGUAGAGAAUUUGAUACAUUGUUGCGGUUCACCAGAUGCUGUUUUGCUUCACUGUGGUGGCAAUGAUAUUGGACUUGUUAACUGUGCAAAACUUUUAUUUGAUAUUACAUUUAUGCUAGAUAUAGUUGCACGUAUGGUGAAUGGAGGUAAAAUUAUUUUUUCAAGCAUUUUACCAAGGUUGAAAUGGAGAUAUUCAAAAGAUUUGAAAGCAAUGGAUGUAACCAGGAAACGUAUAAAUAGGGGAGUUAAAUCACAUUUAAAUAAAACUGGGGGUUACACUAUAACUCAUUCUGAUUUUGAAGACAAACAUCAAUCUUUAUUUAGUCAUGAUGGCGUCCAUUUGUCGUUUAUUGGCAAUGAUAUAUUUUUGAAUUCAUUUCAAACUGCUUUAGAACAAUUUUACUAUAUACCAAAUAAUUCUGUUUAUCCGAUGCAUGAAUGAUGUUGUUUGUUUAUUUUUGUUGUAUGUUGAAAAAAAUAACAACUAGUUGAUUAUAUUUUCAUUGAAUUUAUGCUGCUUAUUCAAUUGUCAUGGCGGAUUAGCAUUUGAUUGAGAGUUCACUAAAAUGCCA